rnacentral:rRNA from 1 species
AACGUAGGUCCCGAGCGUUAUCCGGAUUUACUGGGCGUAAAGCGUGUUCAGGCGGUCUAGCAAGUCGGGCAUGAAAUCUCUCGGCUCAACCGGGAGGGGUUGUCCGAUACUGCUGGGCUUGAGGGCAGCAGAGGGUGGUGGAAUUCCGGGUGUAGUGGUGAAAUGCGUAGAUAUCCGGAGGAACACCAGUGGCGAAGGCGGCUACCUGGACCGGUUCUGACGCUGAUGCGCGAAAGCGUGGGUAGCAAACAGG